GACGUAGGGGGCCAGCGUUGUUCGGAAUUACUGGGUGUAAAGGGUUCGUAGGCGGUGUGGCAAGUCGGGAGUGAAAUCUCUGGGCUCAACCCAGAGUCUGCUUUCGAUACUGCUGCGCUUGAGUGAGACAGAGGUAAGCGGAACUUAGGGUGGAGCGGUGAAAUGCGUUGAUAUCCUAAGGAACACCGGUGGCGAAGGCGGCUUACUGGGUCUCAACUGACGCUGAGGCACGAAAGCUAGGGUAGCAAACGGG
rnacentral:rRNA from 1 species